AGCUGUUCUAGUCUCUACUGUGAGCCCCCUAGAGGCCGUUAGAGGAACUACACGUUCGUCUCACUUGCCUUUAGUACACAGGAUUCAGAAGUCGUACCAGAGAUAGUGUAGGGAUGUCGGAGUUGCUGAGGGACGCAAACGGUUGAGUUAGUUGAUUGGUGUGUGUGUGUGUGUGUGUGUGUGUGUGUGUGUGUGUGUGUGGAGAGGCAGGAAGUGCACCUGUAUCAAGAACAGGCCCCAGGUGGCCUUCCCCCUCCUCUUCCUCGUACUCUAAUGAGAGAGAGGGAGAGGGGGAGAGGGAGAGAGAGGGAGAGAGAGGGAGAGAGAGGGAGAGGGAGAGAGAGGGAGAGAGAGAGAGAGAGAGAGAGAGAGAGAGAGAGAGAGAGAGAGAGAGAGAGAGAGAGAGAGAGAGAGAGAGAGAGAGAGAGAGAGAGAGAGAGAGAGAGAGAGAGAGAGAGAGAGAGAGA